rnacentral:rRNA from 1 species
ACUGCUCAGUAACACGUGGAUAAUCUACCCUGAGGUGGGAGAUAACCCCGGGAAACUGGGGAUAAUAUCCCAUAGGUUAUGGAGGCUGGAAUGCGCUAUAACCGAAAGCUCCGGCGCCCCAGGAUGAGUCUGCGGCCGAUUAGGUUGUUGUUGGGGUAACGGCCCAACAAGCCUAUAAUCGGUACGGGUUGUGGGAGCAAGAGCCCGGAGAUGGAUUCUGAGACAUGAAUCCAGGCCCUACGGGGCGCAGCAGGCGCGAAAACUUUACGAUGCGAGCAAUCGUGAUAAGGGGACCCCGAGUGCCUGUAUACGCAGGCUGUUCAGGUGUCUAAAAAACACCUGGAGAAAGGGCCGGGCAAGACCGGUGCCAGCCGCCGCGGUAACACCGGCGGCUCGAGUGGUAACCGUUAUUAUUGGGUCUAAAGGGUCUGUAGCCAGCCGGAUAAGUCUCUUGGGAAAUCCAGCAGCUCAACUGUUGGGCUUUCAGGAGAUACUGUCUGGCUCGAGGCCGGGAGAGGUGAGAGGUACUUCAGGGGUAGGGGUGAAAUCUUGUAAUCCUUGAAGGACCACCAGUGGCGAAGGCGUCUCACCAGAACGGACCUGACGGCAAGGGACGAAAGCUAGGGGCACGAACCGGAUUAGAUACCCGGGUAGUCCUAGCCGUAAACGAUACUCGCUAGGUGUCGGCCACGGUGCGACCGUUGUCGGUGCCGUAGGGAAGCCGUGAAGCGAGCCACCUGGGAAGUACGGCCGCAAGGCUGAAACUUAAAGGAAUUGGCGGGGGAGCAC